rnacentral:rRNA from 1 species
GACGAACGCUGGCGGCGUGCUUAACACAUGCAAGUCGAGCGGUAAGGCCCUUCGGGGUACACGAGCGGCGAACGGGUGAGUAACACGCGGGCGACCUGCCCCUCACUCUGGGAUAAGCCCGGGAAACUGGGUCUAAUACCGGAUAUGACCUUCCUCUGCAUGGGGGUUGGUGGCAAGUUUUUCGGUGAGGGAUGGGCCCGCGGCCUAUCAGCUUGUUGGUGGGGUGAUGGCCCACCAAGGCGACGACGGGUAGCCGGCCUGGGAGGGCGACCGGCCACACUGGGACUGAGACACGGCCCAGACUCCUACGGGAGGCAGCAGUGGGGAAUAUUGCGCAAUGGGCGAAAGCCUGACGCAGCGACGCCGCGUGGGGGAUGACGGCCUUCGGGUUGUAAACCUCUUUCGCCAGGGACGAAGCGCAAGUGACGGUACCUGGAUAAGAAGCACCGGCCAACUACGUGCCAGCCGCCGCCGUAAUAC